rnacentral:rRNA from 1 species
AACACAUGCAAGUCGAACGCCCUGCGCAAGCAGGGAGUGGCGGACGGGUGAGUAACGCGUGGAUCAUCUCCCCUUGGGUGAGGAAUACUGGCGAGAAAUCGCCAACAAUACCGCAUAUGCUUGUGCAAACAAGCAAAGCAUCGCAAGAUGCGCCGGAGGAAGAGUCCGCGUCCGAUUAGCCAGUUGGUGGGGUAAUGGCCUACCAAAGCGACAAUCGGUAGCUGGUCUGAGAGGACGAUCAGCCACACUGGGAUUGAGAACGGCCCAGACUCCUACGGGGGGCAGCAGUGAGGAAUUUUCGUCAAUGGGGGCAACCCUGAACGAGCAACGCCGCGUGCAGGAUGAAGGUUUUCGGAUCGUAAACUGCCUUUCUUGGGGACGAGCAAGGACGGUACCCAAGGAAUCAGCCCCGGCUAACUACGUGCCAGCAGCCGCGGUAAUACGUAGGGGGCAAGCGUNGUCCGGAUUUAUUGGGCGUAAAGCGUCCGCAGGCGGUCAAUCAAGUUCGUGGUGACAGUCUCCAGCUCAACUGGAGAAGGCCCAUGAAGACUGGUUGACUUGAGGGCUUCAGAGGGACAUGGAAU